GCGACGCCCACGAGACGAAUCAACCGCAGCUGGACUAGGGCCUAGGGCAACCGACGGCGGCGGCGCAGGAACAAUUUUGUAGCCACUCGACAGAAAUCAGCGGUGGUGCGGGGGCAUCCAUCAGCAUCCAUACGAGGGCUUCAAGCAACGGCUGCGCGAGGGCAUCAAGCAAGUGCAACGCCAGGAGAUUAGGUGAGGUGAGUUCCCUUGUCUCGGUCUACUGAUUGUUUAAGUCAUGGAAUUGCUUAGAAUCAUGGUCUAGGUGACUAUUUUAAUCUUGAAAUUACUCGAAAAUUGUGAGUGUUGGGUUUGCUGGUUGCAUUGAAGAUUACAUGUACUCUCGGUAACUCAAUCUUAGCUUUACUUACUCAUAUUGAACAUUGCCUACUCCAAUUGUUUGCUAGAUAAUUUAUUUGGUAAAUAUAGGAAACCAGGAUCUUAGAUUUACUCAGAUUGAACAUUCACUACUCGUCUACUCCCAAUGUUCUCUUCUGAUUUAUUUGCUAAAUGAACUAAACCAUGCAAAGUAGUUAUAUUGCAACGGUGCAUAUUUUUAGGAUAUUAGUAUAGGAGAGUUUUUCUGAAACUUAUUAAUAUAAUCAAAGGAGCUUACAUAAAAUUUACUAUAUUCCACAGAACCAGUGAACACCCAAAAAGCCCACUCAACGAGUAAUCAUUUCUGAAUUCUUACUCUAGAAUGGAUGAUGAGUAUGCUCCUCUCUUUCUAGGUACCUUGCAAAACUAUUUGCGUAUUGCCACAAGCUGAAUCCGCUUCUCCCAGUGCCACCUCGUAGCAUAUGGUUGCUGAAUAAAGGUGGGCUCUCAUAGUCUCAUGUAAUCAUGCCAUCUAUAUUAUGAUAUGUGCACUGCUCCCAUUCGGAUUAUUCUAUUGUGAUGGUGAGAACACAAGGUGAAAUUUUGUUGUUAUUUAGUGAACAUGUAAAGAAGAAAUGGAGGUUCUUUUCUUUGGCCCAUUCUCCUCUUUUUCUUUUGUGUUCCGUUGUGUGAAAAGAUACUUUUCCAUAUAAUUUAGUAACCUGGAAGCCAUGCAUUUCAGAACAUCAGUGUUUUCUACACUAUCUCACAUAACACAAACUCUUAACUAUCUAACAUCAUUUUUUUCUCUUUCUCUCUCGUUUUACUGAUGCGCAUGGGUGUCAUUAUUAGAUGACUUCAUGUCAUUCAUCUAAGUACCAAUUCGGUUGUUAUGUUUUAUUAGAUAUUUUCUCAUGUUUUGUGAUUCGGUUGCUUCACUCCCGCUAUAGGAGAUACAUGUACUACACAGGUUACGGUUUGUAGAUUGCUAUGUGGCAUGUCAACUUUUAGGUUUCAGUGGUAAGGUGCUCGCAUGUCUUUAUUCUUGCCCUGGUUAUGGUGUAGAUGCACCCAAUAAUGAUUUUUGUUCUGUUCUAGUUAGUGUCUGAAAUAGUUUUGUUUUUGGCGAUUUAAGUUUCUUCACCUACACUCAUCAUACCAUUUCUGUUUGUCAAAGCUGAUGUACUAACAUGCUGCUUCAGUUUCAAAAACCUGAACAUGUUGUUUUGGCCAAAGAAAAGGGUUGGUGUUGUUGUUAAAGCUAGUUAAAACUUGUACACACAUUCCACCUUAAUUAUGUGCAAAAAUCUGUCGCAUUGCACCUUAACCAAAUUUAUUACUGUAAAAAAACACUUACAGGGAGUAGUUUGUGUGAGCAGCUGCAAUGCAUAAUCAAAGUUGUGAAAAACAAGGCUAGGAAUGGAGGAGCUAGCAGCAGCCAUGUACACC
rnacentral:lncRNA from 1 species